GCUGACUGGCCGAAUGGUAAAGGAGCCUGACUCUGGAUCAGGAAAUUCGGAGGUUCGAAUCCUCCCCGCCCA
rnacentral:tRNA from 1 species